rnacentral:misc_RNA from 1 species
AACGCACAUUGCGCCCGCCAGUAUUCUGGCGGGCAUGCCUGUUCGAGCGUCAUUUCAACCAUCAAGCCCCAGGCUUGUGUUGGGGCCCUGCGGCCGUCCGCAGCCCCCUAAAAACAGUGGCGGGCUCGCUAUAUACCGAGUGCAGUAGUUUACUCUUCGCUCAGGACAUGUAGUGGGUUCUUGCCGUAAAACCCCCCAUUUAUCAAGGUUGACCUCGGAUCAGGUAGGAAUACCCGCUGAACUUAA